UGCAGUCGAGCGGGCACUUCGGUGUCAGCGGCGGACGGGUGAGUAACGCGUGGGAACGUGCCCUCUGGUUCGGAAUAACUCAGGGAAACUUGAGCUAAUACCGGAUACGCCCUUUUGGGGAAAGGCUUGCUGCCGGAGGAUCGGCCCGCGUCUGAUUAGCUAGUUGGUGAGGUAACGGCUCACCAAGGCGACGAUCAGUAGCUGGUCUGAGAGGAUGAUCAGCCACACUGGGACUGAGACACGGCCCAGACUCCUACGGGAGGCAGCAGUGGGGAAUAUUGGACAAUGGGCGCAAGCCUGAUCCAGCCAUGCCGCGUGAGUGAUGAAGGCCUUAGGGUUGUAAAGCUCUUUUAUCCGGGACGAUAAUGACGGUACCGGAGGAAUAAGCCCCGGCUAACUUCGUGCCAGCAGCCGCGGUAAUACGAAGGGGGCUAGCGUUGCUCGGAAUCACUGGGCGUAAAGGGCGCGUAGGCGGCGUUUUAAGUCGGGGGUGAAAGCCUGUGGCUCAACCACAGAAUGGCCUUCGAUACUGGGACGCUUGAGUAUGGUAGAGGUUGGUGGAACUGCGAGUGUAGAGGUGAAAUUCGUAGAUAUUCGCAAGAACACCGGUGGCGAAGGCGGCCAACUGGACCAUUACUGACGCUGAGGCGCG
rnacentral:rRNA from 1 species